rnacentral:rRNA from 1 species
CCUACGGGUGGCUGCAGUGGGGAAUAUUGGUCAAUGGGCGCAAGCCUGACCCAGCAACGCCGCGUGAAGGAAGAAGGCUCUCGGGUUGUUAACUUCUUUUAUCAGGGACGAAACAAGUGACGGUACCUGAUGAAUAAGCCACGGCUAACUACGUGCCAGCAGCCGCUGUAAUACGUAGGUGGCAAGCGUUAUCCGGAUUUACUGGGUGUACAGGGCGUGUAGGCGGGAAAGCAAGUCAGAUGUGAAAACCAUGGGCUCAACCUGUGGCCUGCAUUUGAACCUGUUUUUCUUGAGUACUGGAGAGGCAGACGGAAUUCCCAGUGUAGCGGUGAAAUGCGUAGAUAUUAGGAGGAACACCAGUGGCGAAGGCGGUCUGCUGGACAGCAACUGACGCUGAGGCGCGAAAGCGUGGGGAGCAAACAGGAUUAGAUACCCUUGUAGUC